GAUGAAGAACGCAGCGAAAUGCGAUACGUAAUGUGAAUUGCAGAAUUCAGUGAAUCAUCGAGUCUUUGAACGCACAUUGCGCCCCCUGGUAUUCCGGGGGGCAUGCCUGUCCGAGCGUCAUUGCUGCCCUCAAGCACGGCUUGUGUGUUGGGCCCCGUCCUCCGAUCCCGGGGGACGGGCCCGAAAGGCAGCGGCGGCACCGCGUCCGGUCCUCGAGCGUAUGGGGCUUUGUCACCCGCUCUGUAGGCCCGGCCGGCGCUUGCCGAUCAACCCAAAUUUUUAUCCAGGUUGACCUCGGAUCAGGUAGGGAUACCCGCUGAACUUAAGCAUAUCAAUAAGCGGAGG
rnacentral:misc_RNA from 1 species